GAUAUUUUAGGUUAAAAACAGGGAUUUCUAGGAAAAUAAGCGAUAUUUAAGGGGAAAAACAGGGAUUUCUAUGAAAAUAAGCGAUAUUUAAGGGGAAAAACAGGGAUUUCUAUGAAAAUAAGCGAUAUUUAAGGUUAAAAACAGGGAUUUCUAUGAAAAUAAGCGAUAUUUAAGGUUAAAAACAGGGAUUUCUAUGAAAAUAAGCGAUAUUUAAGGGGAAAAACAGGGAUUUCUAUGAAAAUAAGCGAUAUUUUAGGGGAAAACAGGGAUUUCUAUGAAAAUAAGCGAUAUUUUAGGUUAAAAACUGGGAUUUCUAUGAAAAUAAGCGAUAUUUUAGGUUAAAAACAGGGAUUUCUAUGAAAAUAAGCGAUAUCUUAGGUUAAAAACAGGGAUUUCUAGGAAAAUAAGCGAUAUUUAAGGGGAAAAACAGGGAUUUCUAUGAAAAUAAGCGAUAUUUAAGGGGAAAAACAGGGAUUUCUAUGAAAAUAAGCGAUAUUUAAGGUUAAAAACAGGGAUUUCUAUGAAAAUAAGCGAUAUUUAAGGUUAAAAACUGGGAUUUCUAUGAAAAUAAGCGAUAUUUUAGGUUAAAAACAGGGAUUUCUAUGAAAAUAAGCGAUAUUUUAGGUUAAAAACAGGGAUUUCUAUGAAAAUAAGCGAUAUUUAAGGUUAAAAACAGGGAUUUCUAUGAAAAUAAGCGAUAUUUUAGGUUAAAAACUGGGAUUUCUAUGAAAAUAAGCGAUAUUUAAGGUUAAAAACAGGGAUUUCUAUGAAAAUAAGCGAUAUUUAAGGUUAAAAACAGGGAUUUCUAUGAAAAUAAGCGAUAUUUAAGGUUAAAAACAGGGAUUUCUAUGAAAAUAAGCGAUAUUUAAGGGGAAAAACUGGGAUUUCUAUGAAAAUAAGCGAUAUUUUAGGUUAAAAACAGGGAUUUCUAUGAAAAUAAGCGAUAUUUAAGGUUAAAAACAGGGAUUUCUAUGAAAAUAAGCGAUAUUUCAGGUUAAAAACAGGGAUUUCUAUGAAAAUAAGCGAUAUUUGAGGUUAAAAACAGGGAUUUCUAUGAAAAUAAGCGAUAUUUUAGGUUAAAAACAGGGAUUUCGAUGAAAAUAAGCGAUAUUUCAGGUUAAAAACAGGGAUUUCUAUGAAAAUAAGCGAUAUUUUAGGUUAAAAACAGGGAUUUCUAUGAAAAUAAGCGAUAUUUCAGGUUAAAAACAGGGAUUUCUAUGAAAAUAAGCGAUAUUUGAGGAUAAAAACUGGGAUUUCUAUGAAAAUAAGCGAUAUUUAAGGGGAAAAACAGGGAUUUCUAUGAAAAUAAGCGAUAUUUAAGGUUAAAAACAGGGAUUUCUAUGAAAAUAAGCGAUAUUUAAGGUUAAAAACAGGGAUUUCUAUGAAAAUAAGCGAUAUUUAAGGUUAAAAACAGGGAUUUCUAUGAAAAUAAGCGAUAUUUAAGGUUAAAAACAGGGAUUUCUAUGAAAAUAAGCGAUAUUUUAGGUUAAAAACAGGGAUUUCGAUGAAAAUAAGCGAUAUUUCAGGUUAAAAACAGGGAUUUCUAUGAAAAUAAGCGAUAUUUAAGGUUAAAAACAGGGAUUUCUAUGAAAAUAAGCGAUAUUUAAGGUUAAAAACAGGGAUUUCUAUGAAAAUAAGCGAUAUUUUAGGUUAAAAACAGGGAUUUCUAUGAAAAUAAGCGAUAUUUAAGGGGAAAAACAGGGAUUUCUAUGAAAAUAAGCGAUAUUUAAGGGGAAAAACAGGGAUUUCUAUGAAAAUAAGCGAUAUUUAAGGUUAAAAACAGGGAUUUCUAUGAAAAUAAGCGAUAUUUAAGGUUAAAAACAGGGAUUUCUAUGAAAAUAAGCGAUAUUUUAGGUUAAAAACAGGGAUUUCUAUGAAAAUAAGCGAUAUUUUAGGUUAAAAACAGGGAUUUCUAUGAAAAUAAGCGAUAUUUCAGGUUAAAAACAGGGAUUUCUAUGAAAAUAAGCGAUAUUUAAGGGGAAAAACAGGGAUUUCUAUGAAAAUAAGCGAUAUUUAAGGGGAAAACUGGGAUUUCUAGGAAAAUAAGCGA